rnacentral:rRNA from 1 species
AACGAACGCUGGCGGCAGGCUUAACACAUGCAAGUCGAGCGCCCCGCAAGGGGAGCGGCAGACGGGUGAGUAACACGUGGGAACGUGCCCAAAGGUACGGAACAACUCCGGGAAACUGGAGCUAAUACCGUAUGUGCCCUUCGGGGGAAAGAUUUAUCGCCUUUGGAUCGGCCCGCGUCUGAUUAGCUAGUUGGUGGGGUAAUGGCCUACCAAGGCGACGAUCAGUAGCUGGUCUGAGAGGAUGAUCAGCCACACUAGGACUGAGACACGGCCCAGACUCCUACGGGAGGCAGCAGUGGGGAAUAUUGGACAAUGGGCGCAAGCCUGAUCCAGCCAUGCCGCGUGAGUGAUGAAGGCCUUAGGGUUGUAAAGCUCUUUCGCCAGGGACGAUAAUGACGGUACCUGGAUAAGAAGCCCCGGCUAACUUCGUGCCAGCCGCCGCGGUAAAAC